rnacentral:rRNA from 1 species
UACGUAGGGUGCAAGCGUUAAUCGGAAUUACUGGGCGUAAAGCGUGCGCAGGCGGCUUUGCAAGACAGAUGUGAAAUCCCCGGGCUUAACCUGGGAACUGCAUUUGUGACUUCAUGGCUGGAGUGCGGCAGAGGGGGAUGGAAUUCCGCGUGUAGCAGUGAAAUGCGUAGAUAUGCGGAGGAACACCGAUGGCGAAGGCAAUCCCCUGGGCCUGCACUGACGCUCAUGCACGAAAGCGUGGGGAGCAAACAGG